AUUGAACGCUGGCGGCAUGCUUUACACAUGCAAGUCGAACGGCAGCACGGGCUUCGGCCUGGUGGCGAGUGGCGAACGGGUGAGUAAUGCAUCGGAACGUGCCCAUUUGUGGGGGAUAACUACGCGAAAGCGUGGCUAAUACCGCAUACGCCCUGAGGGGGAAAGCGGGGGAUUCUUCGGAACCUCGCGCAAUUGGAGCGGCCGAUGUCAGAUUAGCUUGUUGGUGAGGUAAAGGCUCACCAAGGCGACGAUCUGUAGCGGGUCUGAGAGGAUGAUCCGCCACACUGGGACUGAGACACGGCCCAGACUCCUACGGGAGGCAGCAGUGGGGAAUUUUGGACAAUGGGGGCAACCCUGAUCCAGCCAUGCCGCGUGAGUGAAGAAGGCCUUCGGGUUGUAAAGCUCUUUCGGCCGGGAAGAAAUCGCACAGGUUAAUACCUUGUGUGGAUGACGGUACCGGAAUAAGAAGCACCGGCUAACUACGUGCCAGCCGCCGCGGUAAGAC
rnacentral:rRNA from 1 species